UUUCUCAGCGCUGGCCAGGAUGCAUGAACUCAGUCGUUUGUUAUUACUGGAUUUAAAAAUAUAUAUAUAUAUUUUAUAGAUAAUGCUGAGGUGGAUUUUUAUUCACAGGUAUGAAUUCUUGCAAUUAUCAGUUUUUAUUAAAAAUAAGUAUCCAGUGUAAAAUGUCUCCAAAUGGAUAUAAAGCGUUCUUAGAUUUAAAUACGGAUGAAUGGAGGAUUCGUUGUUCAGAGCAUCAACCGCCCCCUGCAGGAAUAAAACUCACAAGACAUUCAGUGGCUGACAACGUGCAAUUUCGGUCUGUAGGUCUGUUACCCACACAAAACUUUCGUAUGAAUUUAGACCACAAGAAAUACAUAACACGAGUCAUAUGUGGAGUCAGUGAAGCUGUUCAAGGUGUCCAUAGAAAUGAUCAGUUAUUUUUCAUGGUGAGGAAAGCAGACAGGCAUUUCAGAUGAGCAGGGCGGGGCCGGAGUCACAGCUCUCAUGAGCAUGGAAUCAAGCACAUACAGAUAAGCUCCAAGGCCACAAACUUUUAAAGAAACAGACGCCAUCAGAGGAAUACUGUGAUUUAAGAUGUUUCCCCUGUGUGCUGCCCAUCAACUUUGAGCACUUGACUCACCUGCUCCAAAACUCAGUGGUUCCAGCUCCAAUACAGAAAGCAUUAUUGGUUAAAACCACUGGCGUAGAAUUGGGGGAGACGGGGGACGUACGUCCCACCCAAUGCUCUGAAGGGGGUGAUUCGACCCCCCCCCCCCCCCAUCAUGCAUCUGUCCUUGUUUAUAAAUUUUUAUCAACGCUGAAAGUAAUUUCGUUUGAGAUACCUUGCAAUUGUGUGGCUGUGAGUCUGUCUUAUUGAGACAAAAAACUGAAGUCCCCCCUCCGUUGUACGAGUUGGUAUCACCCAACUAAAAAUCAAAUCAAAUCAAAUCAAAUCACUUUAUUGUCACACAGCCAUAUACACAAGUGCAAUGGUGUGUGAAAUUCUUGGGUGCAGUUCCAAUCAACAUAGCAGUCGUGACAGUGAUGAGACAUAUACCAAUUUACAAUAACAUCAAAUUAACACAACACAAUUUAAACAUCUGAUAUACACAUAAUUACACUCAACAAUAUACAAAUAAU